GCUAAACAUCAUCAAUUAAUAAAUAAAAAAAAAGGAUUUAUUCCUUUAAGGUGUCACCUAUGAAAAGUCCCUCUGGCCUCUGCCCUUAGAAUACACGCAGUUCUUAUUAUUAUACAUGUAAACAAAUUUCGAAAUCCUUCCAAAAUGACGAGCUGACACUUGCACACCGUCACCGUCACCGCCACCGCCACCGCCACCGCAAUCGCCGUCAUCCAACACCACCGCCUCCUCCUCCCUCUCAAGAACAUUUUUAACACUAAACGACAAAGAUUCUUUCCUCAACAAGAACCGCCCCGUCGGAGGGUCCCACAAGUUGAGCAACCCCAGGGGCCGACCUGAAGGUCGCCGUACCUGUACCGUCAUGCACUGGAUGGGAUUAUCCGCCGGCUCAUCUGGUUUCCCAUCCUUCAAGACGUCACAAAGCGAAACCCUAGCACUCCCCACUGGUUUCUGCCUGACGUGCCCAUAAGCAUAUAUGUCGAUGUUCAGUGCUGCCCUGAUAUCAGUCUCUGCCAUAUGUUGCCGAAACUUACCUUGACAAUCUCGUUCCAGGUACGGUCUCUGCUGCCGCGCUCGUCGACGUGGGUUCCGGCGACGUGAACGUCUUUCUCGACAAAGACAAGAGCGUAGGGUUUCAUCUUGGCAAUAUGCUUGACAUUCUUGAGGUUCUCGGCUGAGAUUAUCAAGACUUCUAUUUCUCUAAGUUGAUCCUCCGGUGGAUCGUUCUUGCGGUGGUUAUGAUAGUGUCAGAUGGCUCAAUUGCUGAGCACUUCUUUUGUCAG
rnacentral:misc_RNA from 1 species